UAAUACGUAGGUGGCAAGCGUUGUCCGGAAUUAUUGGGCGUAAAGCGCGCGCAGGCGGUCUUUUAAGUCUGAUGUGAAAGCCCACGGCUCAACCGUGGAGGGUCAUUGGAAACUGGAAGACUUGAGUGCAGAAGAGGAGAGUGGAAUUCCACGUGUAGCGGUGAAAUGCGUAGAGAUGUGGAGGAACACCAGUGGCGAAGGCGACUCUCUGGUCUGUAACUGACGCUGAGGCGCGAAAGCGUGGGGAGCAAACAGGAUUAGAUACCCUGGUAGUCCACGCCGUAAACGAUGAGUGCUAAGUGUUAGGGGGUUUCCGCCCUUUAGUGCUGCAGCUAACGCAUUAAGCACUCCGCCUGGGGAGUACGACCGCAAGGUUGAA
rnacentral:rRNA from 1 species